ACGAACGCUGGCGGCGUGCUUAACACAUGCAAGUCGUACGGUAAGGCCCUUUCGGGGGUACACGAGUGGCGACCGGGUGAGUAACACGUGAGUAACCUGCCCACAACUUUGGGAUAACGCUAGGAAACUGGUGCUAAUACUGGAUAUGUGCUCCUGCUGCAUGGUGGGGGUUGGAAAGCUCCGGCGGUUGUGGAUGGACUCGCGGCCUAUCAGCUUGUUGGUGGGGUAGUGGCCUACCAAGGCGGCGACGGGUAGCCGGCCUGAGAGGGUGACCGGCCACAUUGGGACUGAGAUACGGCCCAGACUCCUACGGGAGGCAGCAGUGGGGAAUAUUGCACAAUGGGCGCAAGCCUGAUGCAGCAACGCCGCGUGCGGGAUAACGGCCUUCGGGUUGGAAACCGCUUUCAGCAGGGACGAAGCUUUUUGUGACGGUACCUGCAGAAGAAGCACCGGCUAACUACGUG
rnacentral:rRNA from 1 species